CGGACGGGUGAGUAACGCGUGGGUAACCUGCCUCAUACAGGGGGAUAACAGUUGGAAACGACUGCUAAUACCGCAUAAGCGCACGGGAUUGCAUGAUCCAGUGUGAAAAACUCCGGUGGUAUGAGAUGGACCCGCGUCUGAUUAGCCAGUUGGCGGGGUAGCGGCCCACCAAAGCGACGAUCAGUAGCCGACCUGAGAGGGUGACCGGCCACAUUGGGACUGAGACACGGCCCAA
rnacentral:rRNA from 1 species